CAAAAACAAGAAUGAAAGAGGAUGAACUUGAAACUGGAAACAGGAAAAUGAAAAAGAAGAGCGAGAGAGGAGAGAGAUGAGAGACAGAGAGAGAGGGGGGCAGAGAACACGGGGCAAAAAAGGCACCAUACUAUUACUCAGCUACAGUACGAUAAGUUCUCACUUUUUAAUGGGUAUGGAUUUUGGAACAUAUCCAAUUUUCCAUCAUCAAAUUUCGUUUUGAUGAACACAGAAAAGUGAGAGCCGGGAAAUCAAACUUCUUCGACGAGAUAGGAAACUUGGAUAAACGGAAAAGUUGAAGGUGAGUAGUUUCUAAUAAUAUAAGUUAUAAGAUUGAAAAAUCUUGGUUUCAUUCACAUAUUUGAGCGAGAAAUGAGAUUAUCUAGGUAAAACUUGUUCUACAUUUGUAAAGUUAAUUUAUUUGUUUAAUUUUAUUUUUCUUCAGAUUUUGGGGGUUCAGAUUUGUCCCUAAUAAUUUAUAUCAGGUUAGUGCUGAGAAAUUGAAAUAGAAAAUGCUUGCUUUAUUCCAUCCGAGAGGUGUUAGACAGUUGAUAAAAUGCCAUCAGAACACAGCUUUUCUUGCUACUAAUGCUUUUAAUUCAACCUCUAAAUCAUGUGUUUUAAUGGAAAAAAACAAUGGAGAGAUUGAAAGAAUUACUAAAAUUAUCAAUGAUCACCCAUUUCCUGACAUCCCACUUGAGUCUACCCUCCUUCGACAUAUUCCUCCGUCCAAACUUUCACCUGGGUUUGUGGAGAAUGUUCUCGGUCGCUUGUUCUCGUCGAAUACGAAUGGUGUUAAAGCUUUUGAGUUCUUCAAAUUCACCCUUCGCCAUUCGGAGUUGAUGCCUACUUCAGAUGCAAUUGAUAAGACUUUACACAUUCUUACGAGAAUGCGGUAUUUUGAUAAAGCAUGGGAAGUCAUGGAAGAAAUUGUCAAGUUGAAUCCUUCGUUGUUGACCCUUAAGUCAAUGAGUAUUGUUCUGUCUAAGAUUGCUAAGUAUCAGACUUAUGAAGAUACACUUGGAGCGUUUGAGAGGAUGGAGAAGAGUGUGUUGGUUGGAAGACAGUUUGGAAGUGACGAGUUUAAUGUUUUGCUUCGUGUGUUUUGCACUCAAAGACAGAUGAAGGAGGCAAAAUCUGUGUUCAAUAAAAUGUAUUUACGUUUUCCAUCAAACACCAAGACCAUGAAUAUUUUGCUCUUGGGUUUUAAGGAAUCAGGUGAUAUUACUUCGGUUGAACUAUUCUUCCAUGAAAUGGUGAAAAGAGGUUUUAAGCCGAAUAACGUCACCUAUAGCAUCAGAAUUGAUGCUUACUGCAAAAAAGGCUGCUUUGAUGAUGGAUUGAGACUCCUUGAAGAGAUGGAACGUGUGAAUUGCUUGGCAACAUUAGAAACAAUUACUACUUUGAUUCAUGGGGCGGGAAUUGCUAGAAAUGUGACUCGGGCAUGGGAGUUGUUUAAUAAUCUAUCUACAAGAAUGCUAUAUCCUGAUGUUGGGGCUUAUAAUGCGAUGAUAAGCGUUCUUGUGAAGUGUAGACAGGUGGAUUCUGCCGUGAACUUGAUGAAUGAAAUGAUUGAGAAGGAUAUGACCCCUGAUGGCAUAACCUAUCACACCCUGUUCCAUGGCUUAAUGAAGUCAGAUGGUAUUGAGGCUGUUAGAGGUCUUUACGAAAAAAUGGUGUUGCAAAAUUUUGUUCCAGAUACACGUACGGCGGUGAUGCUGAUGAAAUUCUUUUGUGGAAAUCGCCAUGUGGAUUUAGGCUUGAAUCUCUGGGACUACUUGAUGGAGAAGGGUUCUUGCCCUCAUGAUCAUGCAUUAGCUCUUUUAGUUACAAGUUUGUGCUCACAUGGGCGGGUCCAAGAAGCAUUUGAAUGUGCUAAACAGAUGUUAAACCGAGGGAGGCAUAUAGGUAUACCAGUGUUCCACAUGUUAGACAGGUUUUUGCGUGAAGCAGGUCAUGUAGACAAAUUAAGGAACCUUACUGAAAUGAUAAGGAAGUUGGGCAGCAUUUAUCCCCAAUCAAGAGGACAUUCUCUUGGGCUUUCUACUUUAUUGUGUUGACAUACCACUGUCGAUCCCAAGUAUUCUGUGUCUAUGGAAUGCCUGUGUGACUGGGCAGCAUUUAUGCCCAAUCAAGAGGACAUGCUCUUGGGCUUUCUACUUUAUUGUGUUGACAUACCAUUGUCGAUCCCAAGUAUAUUUUGUGUGUAUGGAAUGCCUGUGUGACUGAUAUGACCAGGACAAUAGCUCAUACAUUGUCUUUUAUAAUACAACUUCAAGUAAAAGGACAUUUAAGUUAUGUGACAGCAUUAAUGGGAGAAGAUGCUAGGGAGACGACUUUUAUAAUUCCCCAAGUCUUCUGAUGUCUGCUGACAUGAAGCGUUUUCAACAAAGGGCAUACAAUAGUCUAUUAAGCUUGAAUGAUCUGAGAAGUAAACCAAGUGCUACUAAAGAAGAGGAAAAGUCAUGGAACUGGUUCUGUUUUGGGGAAGACUGCUAGACAUGGUUAAAAAGGUGAUAAGGCUCAUGGCACUAUGAAGUUUGGCGUAAAGGUUGGUCAAACCACGUGUCACUGACGUCUCCUUAGGAGACGCUUUAAGAGCUCAUUUAGCCUCACGUUUCAGGUGAUAUGACCGUUACUCCCCAUUUCCUUGAUGUGCGCUCCUCUUGCCACGUCUGUGCUAGCUCCUUAGUAUAGGAGGGCGAGGUGGAGUUGUUGCAUUACCCCGGGUCAAAAACUCACCUUGUCCUCAAGGUGGAAGUGAGCAAACAAAGUUGGAUUGAAUGGAACUCUUCCCAUGUGGCCUCAAAUGAUGAUGAAUGCUUCCAUUUGAUGAGUACCUCUGUCUUGGGAGCAGAUGGGGGUCCUAUUGUGUGAACAUUCAAUAGCUCCUUAGGUUCAGCUACCCACUCCAAGUCUGGGGAUAGGAUGGUAGGAAUUUAAGAGAUGGGUCUGGCAUCUCCCAGUGCUUCCUUCAAUUGUUAAAUGUGAAACACCGGGUGUAUCUUGCUGUGGGUUAGCAAUUCUAGUUUGUAAGCCACCUUCCCAAUUCAUUGAAGUAUGGUUAAUGGUCCAUAAAAACGUGCUGCCAAUUUCUCAAAGGGAUGUUUGGCUAGUGUUUGCUGCCGAUAAGUUGCAGCGUGAGGAACACCCAUUUACCUACUUCAAACUCCUCCCUGCGAUGCUGGUUAGCAUAUUUACUCAUGCGCUGCUUAGUCUUCACCAGGUUGAGGCGUAGGUCCUUCAGAAUGGCCUCUCUUUAGUAGCAGUACGACAUGUGCGAUCCUAGUGCGCAGUCAUGUAACAUGUGUGGCAAGUGUCAUUUUCUUUAUAGGACGUCUGCCUCUGAUUUCCAGAUGCUUGUCCCCAAUUUUUAUCAGAAUGUUUAAAAUUAUUAUUUAUUGGGAAAAAUCGGCCUCUGCCACGUCCACGCCCUCGGCCACGGUAAUUACCACGUCCUCUCCCACGACCGUGGUAAUUACCGCGUCCACCCCUAUGUAUAGCAUUUGAUUCUAGCGGGUUAGAAUUUUCUAUUGUAUUUAUCUCAUGGGUGGCUGAAGACCCCGUAGGUCUAAGAUUAUGAUUUUCCAGCAGAAGAUUAUUAUUUUGUUCAGCCACAAGUAGUACUGUGAUUAACUCAGAGUACUUUUUGAAAGCUCUAACCUAUAUUGUUCUGCCAAUAUGAUAUUAGAAGCGUGGAAAAUGGAGAACAUUUUAUUUAUUAUUUGCUCUUUUGUGA